UCCCGAUUAACGGCUCGUUAGGGCUAAGGCCGCCGGGGAGAGUGGGGGGGUGGUGGGGAGCGGGGGCAGCCCUGCGUCCCGACGUGCUGUCAGGGGAUUUUUUUAUUUUUUAUUUAAUUUGGGUUUGUUUUUUUUUUUUGUUUCCAGUCUCAUUUCUGCACGUGUUCCUUUGUUCUCCGAACAGAAGCUUUUUUUUUUUUUAAAUAUAUAUAUAUAUAUAUCGGCUUAAUGUAACACAGCUGGAGGGAGCCGCUCCCUGUGGCUGCCCUGGGGGGGUGUGGGUGAGGUGGAGGGGGGGGGGGUAUGGGUUGAGCAGACACCCCCCCCCCCCCCUCCUAUUCCUCCCCCGAAGAAGGAAAAAAAAAAAACUCCAGCCAUUCCCCAGCGCUGGAAGUUGCUCCCGGGUCUGGGUCGGUAACCAGACACGCGUGUCGCCCGAGGGCUGGCGGGGAGGAACUGAGCCAGACGGGGACACAAAGGAGGGGGGGCAGCCCCAGACGAAUCGUCCCCGCCCCGCGGUAGCGGAGCCCGGCGGUGCCGAGCCCCGCGGGACGUGGGGCUCGGCGGUGCCGGGCUCCGCUACCGCGGGGCGGGGACAGGGCGAUGCCCCCGGUGUCCCCGUCCCCCCCCCUUUUGUCUGGCUCCGGGGUGACUCGGUCCCCCUCCGGUGACACCUGGCGGGACGCGGGGAGGGGGGGGUAAGAAGCGCUUAGUCGUCCGCCCGGGGAUGAUAUCGCGACCGGCGACUGCUUAGCGACAGUUGUUGUUGUUAUUGUUGUUGUAGCGGCUCUCGGGUGAGGUAGGAGAGGGUCGAGAGUGUCCAAAUCUCGGGGGGGCGGGAGGGGGGGGGGGUUAGUUCUCCCGGCCGUGCAGACAGAGCUUUGCGAAGAGGUCUUGCUUCUACCAAGCAGUGUAUCGCUCACGUUAAUGACCGAAACCAUUAACCAAAAAAAAAAAAAAAACCCCAACCCCAGAAACCAAUCCCCCCCAAAAAACAGGCGGUAAAAUGAACCCCGAUUUGCAGUAUUCCUGCUCAAACUAUCCUGCUGGAAUUCUUUCUUACCAUAACUUAAUCUAAAUGUAAUGCCUUUGCUCCCUAAACCAUCCGCAGUUAUUAACUGUGACUGUUGCGAUGGGCUCUGUGUGCAAUAAAAGACUCUGUCAACAUAUGCUUACAAAUCUGCUGCGGUCGCUGCCCCGUGUCUGGAAGGCAGAAGCGUGAUCUGGCUGGAGAUUUUAAUUCACCGGCAGGGGGGUGGAAUUAAAAGAAUUUUGAGGACAGAAAACCUCAAAGUGUUUAUAAAAAACAGAGAUUCAUUACUGAGGCAGCUGAUGUCUAGCCUGAGAUGUGUUUGUGUUCUAAUGGACUUCAUUUUAAUGGUGGCUGUAAGGGGAUGAGGCGGACAGCUGAUUUCAUCAUAAAAGCUUCAGUAAAUUUGCUCUGUGCAUCUCCUGUAUCAGUUGUGUAGGAGGACAUUACUCAGUUGUGUCAACUUGGCAAAUACCAAAAUAAAUAAGAAAAAUAAAACCAAAA